rnacentral:rRNA from 1 species
GCCCAGACUCCUACGGGAGGCAGCAGUGGGGGAUAUUGCACAAUGGGGGAAACCCUGAUGCAGCGACGCCGCGUGGGCGAAGAAGUAUUUCGGUAUGUAAAGCCCUAUCAGCAGGGAAGAAGAAAUGACGGUACCUGACUAAGAAGCCCCGGCUAACUACGUGCCAGCAGCCGCGGUAAUACGUAGGGGGCAAGCGUUAUCCGGAAUUACUGGGUGUAAAGGGAGCGCAGACGGCAGUGCAAGUCUGGAGUGAAAGCCCGUGGCUUAACUACGGGACUGCUCUGGAAACUGUGCAGCUAGAGUGCAGGAGAGGCAGGCGGAAUUCCUAGUGUAGCGGUGAAAUGCGUAGAUAUUAGGAGGAACACCGGUGGCGAAGGCGGCCUGCUGGACUGUAACUGACGUUGAGGCUCGAAAGCGUGGGGAGCAAACAGGAUUAGAUACCCUCGUA